CCUGCGCCCAUUUUAGUGGGUGACAAUGUAGCUUUGGGAAUGAGAGGUGGAGGGGUGCCCCAGUCCUACUGUGACUAACAGAGGUGAUUGACUCAGGCAAAUAGUAGCAGCCAGCCCACCAUCCCAAAAAUAGUCCCAAGUCUUCCACUGGGACAGCGGGCUCUGAUAAAAAUCAGCUGUCACCAAGGCCACAGGACUAGAAAGAGUUCGGUCACAGUGAGGAGACAAACUGUAUCACACAUCACAGCGCAGAUACACAGGGAGAACUACGCUGGAAGGUACUUUAAUGACAAAUAUAGUACACCAGUGACCAAGGGGGGCGCCCCGUCAAGACAAGCCAAAGACAGGAUUUCUACUUCCUCCUCAGUGAGAGACAGAUCGGCUCUCUAUCUGUCCAGAACAGCAACUAUUGACUCCACAGGAGGCUCGGCGCAGCUAGAAUUCAUUACUACUCCAGGAACAAAAACUAAAAAGAUUAAGGUACUGUAUAGUUUGCUUUCCUUACUAACAUCCUGUGUUUACGUCUCAAAUGUGUGCUGUGAAUUUCUGUCUUUGCUUGCAUGGCUAAAGACACAGAGCACACAUACAUGCUAUUAAAGAAAUAACAAGAUCUGUCUAUUUAAUGCAUUUAAAGCAGUCACAACAACAAAUUCUCAUGACAGUGUAGAAUUGAAACACCUAGAGAAAACUACCAGCAUUGCAGAUUUUUCAGGUUUGUUUCCACUGCCCCCAUGUGGCCACAAAAUGUUAAUGCAGGUUUAAAUCAGUCAUAGGUUUGUUUCAUUUCUGAUUUGCAUGGAUCUUCACGAGCCAGAGACUUGGACUUGAGAUGCACAAACACAGACUUGUGACUUGACUUAGACUUGGCCUCAAUGACUUGAC
ensembl:lncRNA